GACGAACGCUGGCGGCGUGCCUAAUACAUGCAAGUCGAACGCAGUUGCGAACGGGUGAGUAAUGCGUAGGUAACUGCCUCAUAGCUUGGGAUAACUCUUGGAAACGAUAGCUAAUACCGCAUACUGUUGGGUUGACCUGCUUUGUAUUAGCUAGUUGGUGAGGUAACGGCUGACCAAGGCGACGAUACAUAGCCGGGCUGGGAGGGUGGUCGGCCAGACUGGGAAUAAGGGACGGCCCAGACUGCUACGGGAGGCAGGAGGAGGGGAUCUUCGGCAAAGGACGGAAGGCUGAACGAGCAACGCCGGGGGAGUGAAGAAGGUGUUCGGAUCGUAAAGCUCGGUUGUGAGAGAAGCGGUAACUAACCAGAAAGGGACGGCUAACUACGUGCCAGCAGCCGCGGUAAUUC
rnacentral:rRNA from 1 species